rnacentral:rRNA from 1 species
CUGCUGCCUUCCGUAGGAGUUUGGGCCGUGUCUCAGUCCCAAUGUGGCCGUCCACCCUCUCAGGCCGGCUACUGAUCGUCGCCUUGGUGGGCCGUUACCCCGCCAACAAGCUAAUCAGACGCGGGUCCAUCUUACACCACCGGAGUUUUUCACACAAAUCCAUGCGGCUUCGUGCGCUUAUGCGGUAUUAGCACCUAUUUCUAAGUGUUACUCCCCCAGUGUAAGGCAGGUUACCCACGCGUUACUCCACCCGUCCGCCACUAAGUUAA